GGAUUGGGCUGUGGCACUUGCUGUUGUGCUGGCUUGGCAUUUUCAAAGGUUAUCAGCUUCCCACCAAACUGAAUAGGAACAGGAUCAGGCAAUUUUAGAGGAGAAGAGGCAAACCGCAGGUCCCAUAUCUGGACUACUGGAAGGCGAUCAUCUUCUGAUGCCAGCACCAGCUGAGUGGCCACUUCAGGGUGCCACAACAUCCCAGAGCAAUGCAUCUGCAGACAAGCAUGGAUAAAACUCAAACAAACUGGAAACACCACCACUUAAAUACAACAAACAAUCUUCACUUUCUACCACCUCAUGACAUGUUUCAAGGCAAAGUAGCGCCACACUGUGGCAUGGUCCCACACAACUGCCUUACCACUGGGGUGAGCCGAAGCAAGGAUGUGCUGCACCUGCCUAUUCCAGGCAACAACACUGACAUCUUCAAGA